rnacentral:rRNA from 1 species
AGGUGAACCUGCGGAAGGAUCAUUACCUAGAGUUGUAGGCUUUGCCUGCUAUCUCUUACCCAUGUCUUUUGAGUACCUUCGUUUCCUCGGCGGGUUCGCCCGCCGAUUGGACAAUUUAAACCAUUUGCAGUUGCAAUCAGCGUCUGAAAAAACAUAAUAGUUACAACUUUCAACAACGGAUCUCUUGGUUCUGGCAUCGAUGAAGAACGCAGCGAAAUGCGAUAAGUAGUGUGAAUUGCAGAAUUCAGUGAAUCAUCGAAUCUUUGAACGCACAUUGCGCCCCUUGGUAUUCCAUGGGGCAUGCCUGUUCGAGCGUCAUUUGUACCUUCAAGCUCUGCUUGGUGUUGGGUGUUUGUCUCGCCUCUGCGUGUAGACUCGCCUCAAAACAAUUGGCAGCCGGCGUAUUGAUUUCGGAGCGCAGUACAUCUCGCGCUUUGCACUCAGAACGACGACGUCCAAAAGUACAUUUUUACACUCUUGACCUCGGAUCAGGU